UCUCCGUUGGUGAACCAGCGGAGGGAUCAUUACAGGACUCGCAAGACUCCUAUAACCCUGUGAACUUAACUAUAAGCACGUUGCUUCGGCGGGUGUCUCGGAGGGGGUUCUCCCUCCCCGAGACGCUAAACCCGCCGGCAGCCUACUAUACUCUGUCUCUUUGCGUUGGCAUCUCGAGUACAAUCAAACAAGUUAAAACUUUCAACAACGGAUCUCUUGGUUCUG
rnacentral:misc_RNA from 1 species